GGGAAGCAUCAAAUCGGGGAAAGAAAAGGGAAAGAGAAGGGGGGAAGGGAGAGUAUGCCUGUUUGAGGGUCAGCCUAAAUAAAAUCGGCUUAGUAGAUUACUGUGUGGGUAACGAUAACGUUGGUCGGAAUUUGGGUCAUCUUAAACCGAAAGGUCUUUAAGCGACUUAAAAUUUUCUUACGAUCUCGCGAACGUUUCUAAGAUUUUCUUCGAAGUUGAAGUUAUCGAUAUCAGACGUGCAGGGGU
rnacentral:misc_RNA from 1 species